rnacentral:rRNA from 1 species
GAGCACGUAGGUGGGUUUGUAAGUCAGAUGUGAAAGCCUUCUGUUCAACGGAAGAAUUGCAUCUGAAACUGCGAGUCUUGAGUGUAGGAGGGGAGAAUGGAACUUCUGGUGGAGCGGUGAAAUGCGUAGAUAUCAGAAGGAACGCCGGCGGCGAAAGCGAUUCUCUGGCCUAUUACUGACACUCAGUGUGCGAAAGCUAGGGGAGCAAACGGGAUUAGAUACCCCGGUAGUCCUAGCCGUAAACGAUGGGCACUAAGUAGAGGGAAUUACCGAUGUUCUCUCUGCCGUAGCUAACGCAUUAAGUGCCCCGCCUGGGGAGUACGGCCGCAAGGCUAAAACUCAAAAGAAUUGACGGGGGCUCGCACAAGCGGUGGAGCAUGUGGCUUAAUUCGAUGCAACGCGAAAAACCUUACCGGGGCUUGACAUGGUAGAAGUAGGAACCCGAAAGGGUAACGAACGGUAUCCAGUCCGUAGCUAUCACAGGUGUUGCAUGGCUGUCGUCAGCUCGUGUCGUGAGACGUUGGGUUAAGUCCCCUAACGAGCGAAACCCUUGUUUUUAGUUACCAGCGGGUUAUGCCGGGUACUCUAGAAAGACUGCCGUCGUCAAGACGGAGGAAGGUGGGGAUGACGUCAAGUCAUCAUGGCCCUUAUGCCCCGGGCUGCACACGUGCUACAAUGGUCGGUACAAACGGAAGCGAAGCCGAGAGGUGAAGCGAAUCC